rnacentral:lncRNA from 1 species
GUAAAAUGAUGAUGGAUACAAAGGGUUUUAUUAGGUUGGAUCCACUUUGUUUUGCUUGAGAUCCUUCAGAAGAAGAUCCAGCUACAGACGCUAAACCCAAGUCUUGCACUUCAGGUUUUUUUACAAAGUUUUCUUUGGUGGGUAUGUCAUUGUCAAGACGUAUACAAUACGAUUUAUAGGACUAAGGUAGUUGGAUAAUUGAUGAAGUAAAUAAUCCUAUCUGACACCCUACACAGUAUACAUAUUAUUAUAUCGUUUAAAAUAAAUUGAAGGAAGACAGAUUGUAUUGAUGAGUAGGUAAAGAUUGGAAGAGGUCCUUUAUAAACUCACACACACACACACAAAACUAUAUAUAAAACUUGGUUCGUUUAAUUCUUUUUGUAUCAUUUUUAAUAAAAAAGAAUGAUAGUUACUUAUAUUCUAAGAAAUAAGAUACAAAAGUAAGCAAAUAGGCCUCAGGAGUAUCCCAAAAUUCCCUUAACAUCUCCUUCAACUCAGAAUAUGUUUUACAUAUUAUAAAGUUCAUUAUUACUUAUUCUUAAAUUAACUUCUUGAAUAUUAUCCAUUAAUUUUUUUUGUGUGUGCUUGUAUGUUGUUUAUAAAUACACAUAAUUAAAGUAAAACGUAGUGAGGCUUUUAUUCUACGUUUUAUAGAUAUAUUGUAGUAUGUGGGUAUUGUACGCACAUAUUUCUAUGACCCAAUUUAUCAUCAUUCCCUCAUAUUUUCCUCCCCAUCCCUACAGGUACAUACACUAUUAGGUACAUAAAUGAAGAUUUAUACUAUUAAUAAUUAUGGAUAAGAAUGGAGAAGUAACAUAGAUAAGUAGGGAAGGACUAAGCACACUAACGUACAACGUUCCUACCUAAUGACAUUCCUUUAGAUAUGUUAUGUAUGAACCAGUGAUGCAUACAAUAGGUCCUUCCGGUAUGUAAAAAUGAAAGAAAUCGAAAAUAAAUUCAUUUUCAGGCCUACUUUUCGGGUGGAAAAGUCUCUUUUAAGCACUCUAGCAAAAAAGAUUUUUAAUUUGCAGCCAACCACCCUCCCCUACUCUAAAAAUGACUUUUGGUUGGCCAGCAAGAAAGCAAUACAUCCCAGGCUUCUUCAGGAAACUAAAUCCAGCCUCCUCCAUGGUUCUGGCAUCAUUUGCAGCAUGGAAGAUACCUGGGCCCACUUGCUUAACCACAGGGAGAGAUUGAAUACUGAUGUCUACCUGUUUAAUCUCUCCUUCUUCUUACCUCAGACAUGUCAAGACUCAGGUUGGUGGUGAAGCUCUGGAUGGACGAGAAGGCAAAUGAAAGGCCUAACUGUUCCAACAGGAUUAUGCAACUGCUCAGAGGUCAAGAAGGUGCAAACUUGGCUGAAUGACAAUGUAGCAGCCUUUUGGGAUUCUUGACUCUCCAAUUCUCUUCACCUGAACCCUUUCGAGUUUCAUUCCUAGAGGGAGUUGGAGAGACACACCUGUGCCAACCACACAACAGCGUGAAGUCCCUCAAGGACACCAUCAAGCGCGUGGCUGCAAAUAUCUCCUCUGCAAACGUCAUUAAAGUCUGCCGUACAUUCCGUGGGAUAAUUGAGGAUCUGCAUGAGCUCAAAGUUUGUUCCAACUGUAAUGGACGACCCUUUAACUUAAAAUUACUCAGAUGUCGAUCCUCCAUUCUACUCCGAGUCAAAUAAUAAUGAUAAUAGCUUUGGAAAAUAAAAACCCCUUCAGAUUGCUAACCAGAAAAUGCCGUCGGAUAGACACUUGGUUUUACCUUUGGUCUCGGGUUAAAGAAUGUUUUUGCAGAACAAUGAAAAAGGAGCGAAGAAAUGAAUAGAAAGUAUAAUCAUUUUCGCUUAGGCCGUCAAAAAUGAAAAGAAAGCGUACACGGGCCUGAUUAUCUGCAAAAAAUCCUUAGGGUUACUCGUCGUCUUUUAUUACCUUAUGCAAAUGUUCAAUCCGGUUUUGUAUAUUUAUAUCAAUGAUAUAUUGUAUUCAAUAAAAAAGGAAGUUGUCAACAGCUUCGGAAAAGAUAAUUUACUCUGGAGUUUGACAACUCCAAAAAAACAGGUGAGCUAAAAAAUCCUCCCGAUUAUCAUCCCUACGUAUGAAUAGUAAUAGCAUAAUAGUUAUUCAACGUUAUAUUCCAAAAUGAUUAAAAUAAUAUAUGUAAGUGGCUGGAGUGGAAACUCGUAUCGUAGAAAAACUAUGUAACUUACCAAAAGGUUUUUUCCUAAAAGUUUUUGACAAGGGAAUUCAAGUCACUCACUCAAAAAGUUAUACAUAUGUUGUGGAUCAUUUUUUUAACUUGUAUGCACAUAUAUUCCUCAUGGGCACAGUUGGUCCCUUAACACGUAGUUAUUAGAUUUGGAGUUUGGCUGGCUUGAAAAUCAUAGUCCGCUCUGAGACAGUAAUAGUUUUUAGUGGGCUGAACUAAUUUGGUCCUUAUUGGAAGUUUGGGAUGGACUCAUCUCUUAGAAGACCUUA